AGUGGCGAACGGGUGAGUAAUGCAUCGGAACGUGCCCAAUCGUGGGGGAUAACGCAGCGAAAGCUGUGCUAAUACCGCAUACGAUCUACGGAUGAAAGCGGGGGACCUUCGGGCCUCACGCGAUUGGAGCGGCCGAUGUUAGAUUAGGUAGUUGGUGGGGUAAUGGCCCACCAAGGCUACGAUCUAUAGCUGGUCUGAGAGGAUGAUCAGCCACACUGGGACUGAGACACGGCACAGACUCC
rnacentral:rRNA from 1 species